AGGAAAUUCCCAAACAUGCUACAACAUAGAUGAACCUUGAAGACAUGCCAGUUACAAAAAGAUGCCAGGAUGCAUGUCCACAGAGGGAAGCCUGUGAGAGGACACGAUGAGAGGGUGACCAUCUGCCAAGAAGAGAGGCUUCAUGAGAAACCAAACUUGCCAACAACUUGAUCCUGCGCUUCUAGCCUCCAAAAGUGUCAGAAAAUAAAUUUCUGUUGUUUAAGCCA